CCUACGGGUGGCAGCAGUGGGGAAUAUUGGGCAAUGGACGCAAGUCUGACCCAGCAACGCCGCGUGAAGGAAGACGGCUCUCGGGUUGUAAACUUCUUUUAAGGGGGAAGAGGAGCAGACGGUACCCCUUGAAUAAGCCACGGCCAACUACGUGCCAGGCGCCGCGGUAAUACGCAGGUGGCAAGCGUUGUCCGGAUUUACUGGGGGUAAAGGGCGUGCAGCCGGGCCUACAAGUCAGAGGUGAAAUCGGCGGGCUUAAACCGGGGACUGCAUUUGAAACUAUAGGUCUUGAGUGCCCGAGAGGUAAUCGGAAUGCGUGGUGUAGCGGUGAAAUGCGUAGAUAUAAGGAAGAACACCGGUGGCGAAGGCAGAAUACUGGACGGUAACUGACGGUGAGGCGCGAAAGCGUGGGGAGCGAACAGGAUUAGAUACCCUUGUAGUC
rnacentral:rRNA from 1 species